ensembl:rRNA 5S_rRNA 5S ribosomal RNA
AUCUAUGGCCAUACCACCCUGAACGCGCCUGAUCUCAUCUGAUCUCGGAAGCUAAGCAGGGUCGGGCCUGGUUAGUGCUUGGAUGGGAGAGAGGUAAAAGCAGACAAAGGUU